rnacentral:ncRNA from 1 species
AACUCCCAAUCCGGUAAUCUCUAGCACAGAGCCGGUAUUCAGCCUUGGACUUAUUAUCGUGAGGUAAUAGGUUAAGCGUAGGCAGAAAAGAUUCAGAAGCCAAGCGACAAGCGAAACCGUUUUAGCCUCGUAAGACAUAAGGAAGCAGCGGGUGAUACUCUCAUAUAAGUCGCAACCAACACAAGUCAUACGAAGAGCUGGUAUGAUAAGGCGCUGCCGGGGUUUG